GGAUUAGAUACCCUGGUAGUCCACGCCGUAAACGAUGAGAACUAGAUGUUGGGAAGAUUUAACUUCUUGGUGUCGCAGCUAACGCGUUAAGUUCUCCGCCUGGGGAGUACGGCCGCAAGGUUGAAACUCAAAGGAAUUGACGGGGGCCCGCACAAGCGGUGGAGCAUGUGGUUUAAUUCGAUGCAACGCGAAGAACCUUACCAGCCCUUGACAUCCUCGGAACUUUCUAGAGAUAGAUUGGUGCCUUCGGGAACCGAGUGACAGGUGCUGCAUGGCUGUCGUCAGCUCGUGCCG
rnacentral:rRNA from 1 species